GUACCCGAGGCCGGGCCGGAGCCGCAGGCCAGCCGCGAUUCCUUCGGGCGAUGCUGGGGGCUUUCCGGUCGGGGCCGCAGCCGCUUCCGGAGCCGCGGGCGAGGUGCGUUCCCCAGCCUGGUUUGCUCUGGGCUCUGACCCGCCGCCGCGAAUCUCCGCUCGUAACUCCGGGCCUGAACCUGGAGGAGGGAGGAUUUCCUCUGUGCAGCUUUCGAGCGGUAGACUCACCCUGCCAGGCAGACCUAGAUUGGCAUAACCAGAGAUCAGUUCCAGUUGUGAUGCAGUGGGUGUCUACACACUUCUGAUGACACCUUUAUUUUAAAAGCUGAUGUUCCAAGGUGCAAGCGGUCUUCUCUGUCUUCUUUAUGGCCAGUAAAAUUCUCCAGAAGAGAUUUAUGGCAGCCUCACUCCCAGUAGUUUCUGCAUUUAGUGAGAUAAGAUGGAAUCUUGCUCUCUUGCUCAGACUGGAGUGCAGUGGCAUGACCUUGGCUCACUGCAACCUCACCUCUCGGGUUCAAGCGAUUCUGCCUCAGCCUCUCGAGUAGCUGGGACUACAGGUGGGAGACCUCCACAGAACCCUUCCAGCAAGCUGUCUUCUAAAGCAAACAAGAAAAGGAAAGUCUGAGCAGUUUUGAUUAGAUUUCCCAGAAGUCAAAGCAAGGAAAAAUGAAAAAGCUUCAUUUCUCACGUUCUUAAAAGAGAGCACAGAUGUUGCAUCAUCUGGUUAGAUACCCUGAGAAUAAAAUCUGGAUCCAGUGAGAGGAAAGAUUCUGGGUGCUCAUGAAAAAAGAAACAAAACAAAACUUGGGAGCCUCUUGAGAGUGUACAGCAUCAGCCCUUGCCAACUCUUGUUUAUAUGCAUUUAACUUUCAGUUAACCAUGGGAAUAAUUCAUGAAAAUCCAAUCUACAAACAAAGGCCAUCCUAACGUUCAUGUUAUUCUUUUCCCUAAGAAUCUUUCACAAGAGCUAUAAUCAAGUAGAAUUAUGCUUUGAUUUGAAUUCUAAUUCAAUUGAAAAUAAAAAAUGAGGGCCGGACGCGGUGGCUCAUGCCUGUAAUCCCAGCGCUUUGGGAGGCUGAGGUGGACGGAUCACGAGGUCAGGAGAUCGAGACCAUCCUGGCUAACACGGUGAAACCCGAUCCCUACUAAAAAUACAAAAAAUUAGCCGGGCGUGGUGGCAGGCGCCUGUAGUCCCAGCUACUCGGGAGGCUGAGGCAGGAGAAUGGCGUGAACCCAGGAGGCAGAGGUUGCAGUGAGCCGAGAUCAUGCUACUGCACUCCAGCCUGGGCGACAGAGCGAGACUCUGUGUAUAAAUAAAUAAAUAAAUAAAUAAAUAACGAAAAGGUUGCCAU
rnacentral:lncRNA from 1 species